rnacentral:tRNA from 1 species
GGAUGUAGCCAAGCGGUCAAGGCAACGGGUUUUGGCUCCGUUAUUCGAAGGUUCAAUUCCUUCCAUC